GCAGGUAAUGUUCCUCAGUAGAACUCUGUCUCUCUCAAACAGGGGAUGUUGUUAAGGACUGGUCUGUGAGGUCUAUUUAAUGUGUUGUAAAGGACUGGUCUGUGAGGUCUAUUUAAUGUGUUGUAAAGGACUGGUCUGUGAGGUCUAUUUAAUACACAGGAUCAUGUAUUAUUAAAAAGGAUGUCUUGGGUGACGUUUAAAGCCUCAAGACAAGAACAUCGAAGGUAGACCCUUUUUACUUACAGGUAGACCCAUUUUACUUACAGGGUCUUUUUACUUACAGGUAGACCCAUUUUACUUACAGGUAGACCCUUUUUACUUACAGGUAGACCCAUUUUACUUACAGGUAGACCCAUUUUACUUACAGGUAGACCCAUUUUACUUACAGGUAGACCCAUUUUACUUACAGGUAGACCCAUUUUACUUACAGGUAGACCCAUUUUACUUACAGGUAGACCCUUUUUACUUACAGGUAGACCCAUUUUACUUACAGGUAGACCCAUUUUACUUACAGGUAGACCCAUUUUACUUACAGGUAGACCCAUUUUACUUACAGGUAGACCCAUUUUACUUACAGGUAGACCCAUUUUACUUACAGGUAGACCCAUUUUACUUACAGGUAGACCCUUUUUACUUACAGGUAGACCCUUUUUACUUACAGGUAGACCCUUUUUACUUACAGGUAGACCCUUUUUACUUACAGGUAGACCCUUUUUACUUACAGGUAGACCCUUUUUACUUACAGGUAGACCCAUUUUACUUACAGGUAGACCCAUUUUACUUACAGGUAGACCCUUUUUACUUACAGGUAGACCCUUUUUACUUACAGGUAGACCCAUUUUACUUACAGGUAGACCCAUUUUACUUACAGGUAGACCCUUUUUACUUACAGGUAGACCCUUUUUACUUACAGGUAGACCCAUUUUACUUACAGGUAGACCCUUUUUACUUACAGGUAGACCCUUUUUACUUACAGGUAGACCCAUUUUCUGCUCAAGUUUCCACAUGCAACAAACACAUUCCAUUACAAACAUCCGCAUCAGUGAACCCAGUCUUACAGUGGACACAGCCAUGUUGACACAUCAGCCUUAACAAACGCUGUAACCAAGACUCACGGAGUACAAGAGUCCGCGCAGAAUGAUGACGUCAGACCAAUAAGGAAGCAAAUACAGAACAAACUAUACUCAGUUAAAUUCUUUUGAAGUAGGUCCCUUAUAUUCAAUGGAAAGAGUCCCAAAUGGCAUCCUAUAUUCCCUAAAUAGUGCACUACUCUGGUCAAAAAGGGGAGUGCACGACUCUGGUCAAAGGGGAGUGCACUACUCUGGUCAAAAGGGAGUGCACUACUCUGGUCAAAAGGGAGUGCACUACUCUGGUCAAAAGGGAGUGCACUACUCUGGUCAAAAGGGAGUGCACUACUCUGGUCAAAAGGGAGUGCACUACUCUGGUCAAAAGGGAGUGCACUACUCUGGUCAAAAGGGAGUGCACUACUCUGGUCAAAAGGGAGUGCACUACUCUGGUCAAAAGGGAGUGCACUACUCUGGUCAAAAGGGAGUGCACUACUCUGGUCAAAAGGGAGUGCACUACUCUGGUCAAAAGGGAGUGCACUACUCUGGUCAAAAGGGAGUGCACUACUCUGGUCAAAAGGGAGUGCACUGCUCUGGUCAAAGGGAGUGCACUACUCUGGUCAAAAGGGAGUGCUCUACUCUGGUCAAAAGGGAGUGCACUACUCUGGUCAAAGGGAGUGCACUACUCUGGUCAAAAGGGAGUGCUCUACUCUGGUCAAAAGGGAGUGCUCUACUCUGGUCAAAAGGGAGUGCACUACUCUGGUCAAAAGGGAGUGCACUACUCUGGUCAAAGGGAGUGCACUACUCUGGUCAAAGGGAGUG